rnacentral:misc_RNA from 1 species
UGGAGGGCGAGUUGAAGAACUUCCUCAAGGUCUGGGUUUUAGCUACUACAUGCUUAUGCUACUGUUACUAUAUAGCAGCAAGAUUACCUAAGGGUAUCUUGAGGCUCCUUUCCAUCCUCCCUAUCAUCUACAUCUUCAUCAUUCUCCCCUUCAACCUCAACUCUUUCAAUCUCUGUGGUCCUACAGCUUUCUUUCUCGUUUGGCUUGCCAACUUCAAGCUCCUCCUCUUCUCCUUGGAUCAAGGUCCCUUAUCACCCCCACCUCCCAAACUUUUCCAUUUCAUCUCCUUAGCCUGUCUUCCCAUAAAACUCAAACAAGAAACAAAUAAUAACACUAACCCAUCAAUCCAUUACAUGCCCAGAUUACUUCUUCUGGCGAUUAAAACCUUCAUUCUUGUUCUUGUAAUUCAUAUCUAUAACUACAGGCAAUUCAUUCACCCCCAUCUCAUCUUAGCUAUC